rnacentral:misc_RNA from 1 species
UGGCUAACUUCAAAAAGGAUCAUGCAUUUUCGGAUGCUGUUUGAGGCCUUAUUUGAGUAUCCUGAUAGUGUUGUAUGGAAUGCGUUUACACGAGUAGCUAUUGACCCUCAGUUAGAAACUCUGCGUAAUGGUAUCGAGUUCUUCAUCAGGGAGUAUGUUGUGAAAACUAAUAAUGCAAUUGUUAAGAAAUUCAAGAUUGUUAAGAAAGCCCUCAACAAUGUGGAAGGAGUCCUCAUGUGAACCAA